rnacentral:lncRNA from 1 species
CCAAUCCGAUAACAUCGUCCUCAACACUAGGAGCAGAUGACAUGGAGUUUGUGCUGUAAAUCUUACCUGAAACAUGAAAGAUUCAACCAUGUUAUUAUGAUAUGACAGUAAUGUACCUACAACUGCUAUUAAAAAAAUCACUUCAUAGGAUUUUUCUUCUUUUUAAUUUACAGCACAACUGAAAAAACAUUCAGUGACUCAUAAAGUUCCUGAUAAAAAUUCAAAUUGGGUUCCCUAUCUUACUUGUGACAUUUGUAAUGGCGCUAAUGCUUCUUUGAGAAACAAGAGCUCUGAAUUUGUUUUCUGUGGCUAAUAGAAGCAGACUUUUCAUCUGUAGUUUCUGCUCUUUCGGGCUAUUUAUUUUUUCUAAAGAUUCUUUUAAAGCAACUAUAUCUUCCAUUUUGAUGCCAGGAACAGAGAGCAAAAUCUGUCAUUUGAUAAAUCAUCAGCUCUAAAUGUUUGAUACGAGCAAGGGAGCAACAACACAUCAUUAAACAAAUAAAGUAAGACUCAAGCUAUGGAC